rnacentral:rRNA from 1 species
UACAGAGGUCUCAAGCGUUGUUCGGAUUCAUUGGGCGUAAAGGGUGCGUAGGUGGCGGGGCAAGUCUGGUGUGAAAUCUCGGAGCUCAACUCCGAAACUGCACUGGAUACUGCCUUGCUUGAGUACUGGAGAGGAGAUUGGAAUUUACGGUGUAGCAGUGAAAUGCGUAGAUAUCGUAAGGAAGACCAGUGGCGAAGGCGAAUCUCUGGACAGUUCCUGACACUGAGACACGAAGGCCAGGGGAGCAAACGGG